UACGUAGGGUCCGAGCGUUAAUCGGAAUUACUGGGCGUAAAGCGUGCGCAGGCGGUUUUGUAAGCCAGAUGUGAAAGCCCCGGGCUCAACCUGGGAAUGGCAUUUGGGACUGCAAGGCUAGAGUACGGCAGAGGGAGGUGGAAUUCCAGGUGUAGCAGUGAAAUGCGUAGAUAUCUGGAGGAACACCGAUGGCGAAGGCAGCCUCCUGGGCUAGUACUGACGCUCAUGCACGAAAGCGUGGGGAGCAAACAGG
rnacentral:rRNA from 1 species